CCUACGGUGGGCAGCAGUGAGGAAUAUUGGUCAAUGGGCGAGAGCCUGAACCAGCCAAGUCGCGUGAAGGAUGAAGGAUCUAUGGUUUGUAAACUUCUUUUAUAUGGGAAUAAAGUGAGGAACGUGUUCCUUUUUGUAUGUACCAUAUGAAUAAGCAUCGGCUAACUCCGUGCCAGCAGCCGCGGUAAUACGGAGGAUGCGAGCGUUAUCCGGAUUUAUUGGGUUUAAAGGGUGCGUAGGCGGGUUAUCAAGUCAGCGGUAAAAUCGUGGAGCUCAACUCCAUCCAGCCGUUGAAACUGAUGAUCUUGAGUGGGCGAGAAGUAUGCGGAAUGCGUGGUGUAGCGGUGAAAUGCAUAGAUAUCACGCAGAACUCCGAUUGCGAAGGCAGCAUACCGGCGCCCGACUGACGCUGAAGCACGAAAGCGUGGGUAUCGAACAGGAUUAGAUACCCGUGUAGUC
rnacentral:rRNA from 1 species